rnacentral:lncRNA from 1 species
GCUGGCAAUGGGGGGAAAAACUUAUAAAAAAUUGUCUCUGCACCAUCUUCCCUUUGUCCUCUAAAAUAUUCACAUUAGCAAAAGUAUAUAACAGCCGAUGAAGAAAUACUGAUAAUUUGUCUUUCUUCUUUAAAAUAUGAAGACUUCGAAGUUAUUUAUCCAAACCAACCUGAUCAUUUCUUAAGAGUGAAUAUACCUUGGAAGACGUGUCCUGCCUUUAGUAGCAUCACAAUGGAUUACAUCCUCUAUAAAGCAGUCUGGGAUAUUCUGCCCAAUCAGAGGCUAACAUCUGCCACAAGACAAAUAUGGUGCCUGCCCCCAUGGAGCUCAUAUUCAAAUGGAGAAAAUGUCAACAAGUAUCCCAUGGAGUGAACACUUCAAAAGGAGAAGCACAGGUGAGAAGAUCGAAUUUGGACACCAUUGAGGAGACUAUUGCAGUCAUCCAAGCUCAAGAUGGUAGAGCUUCAUCCUUGAGAAUAAUCAAUGGGGAUAGAUUUAAGAGACACUUAGAGUCUGCAGCCAGAAUGAGCAGAAAGUUAUGAUUCAGAAGAUCAUCUAAAAUUGAACAGCUGCCACUACUGGCAGUAAGUCUACUGCCAUUUGGUAGAUAACCUUCUUAUCACACAGAAAAAUAUCAGUACAGACAAACAGACCGCAAAGAAAAUGAGACCAUCAGCAAAGAAGAUAAAGAAGUUUGUACAAAGCAACUUUUUGUAAAUGGAUGGCUGUCAGGCAAAAAUAAAUUUCCUGUGGACAAGACUAAGAGCAAGGCAAGAGGAAAAUAAACAUGUUUAAACU